rnacentral:tRNA from 1 species
GGGGGAGUGAGUCAGCGGUUACACGCAUGGUCUCCAAAACCAUGAACCUGGGUUCGAAUCCCAGCUCCCCCG